rnacentral:rRNA from 1 species
AACGAACGCUGGCGGCGCGUUUUAAGCAUGCAAGUCGAACGGCAGGACUGGUAGCAAUACUGGUCUGAGAGUGGCGAACGGGUGAGUAAGACGUAGGUGAUCUACCCCUGGAUGGGGAGUAGUCCGUGGAAACACGGGUAAGUACCGCAUGAGGCCUUGGGGUGAAGCCCUGAGGUGAAAGCUCCAAUUGGAGCGUCUGGGGAUGAGCCUGCGGCCCAUUAGGCAGUUGGCGGGUAACGGCCCACCAAACCGACGAUGGGUAGCCGGCCUGAGAGGGUGUACGGCCACACUGGAACUGAGACACGGUCCAGACUCCUACGGGUGGCUG